UACCAGCACCCCGAGUGGUCGGGACGUUUAUUGGGCCUAAAGCAUCCGUAGCCGGUUCUACAAGUCUUCCGUUAAAUCCAACUGCUUAACAGGUGGGCUGCGGAAGAUACUAUAGAGCUAGGAGGCGGGAGAGGCAAGCGGUACUCGAUGGGUAGGGGUAAAAUCCGUUGAUCCAUUGAAGACCACCAGUGGCGAAGGCGGCUUGCCAGAACGCGCUCGACGGUGAGGAGUGAAAGCUGGGGGAGCAAACCGG
rnacentral:rRNA from 1 species